rnacentral:rRNA from 1 species
UACAGAGGUGGCAAGCGUUGUUCGGAAUUACUGGGCGUAAAGGGCGCGUAGGCGGUUUUUUAAGUCUCGUGUGAAAUCCCUCGGCUUAACUGAGGAACUGCACGGGAUACUGCAAGACUUGAGAUCGGGAGAGGGAAGCGGAAUUCCGGGUGUAGCGGUGAAAUGCGUAGAUAUCCGGAGGAACACCGGUGGCGAAGGCGGCUUCCUGGACCGACACUGACGCUGAGGCGCGAAAGCUAGGGGAGCAAACGGG